UGCCAUGAACAGGAAGAAGAUACAGCAAGGGAGACUGAGAAGAGAUUAGACAGGAAUAAUGAACUGGAGGAAUUCCAUGUGAACUGGAGUAACCUCCAGAAAUUGAUGCAGAGUGAGAGAAGCAGAACCAGGAGAACAUGGUACACAGAGAUGGAUACAAUCAAAUGAAACAUCAUACAUGUGUUAUGUCAUCAUUCUAAAUGCCAUGGUUACUUCUAAAGUCAAGAAGACCUGACACAUCCUGAUGGAGAUCUGAGUUCUUCAGGAAAGGGACAUCACAAAGAACAUAAAUUAACAGAGGGUACAGGAAGGACCUCCUUUUUCCUAGAACCCCAGACUUAGGAGGCACAUGGUCUGACUUGGUGCUUGUUCAGAUGCUCAUGUAAGAAGUGUCUAGAAGUGCUGGCUGCCAGAUGGCUCAGGAUCUCAUGCUCUCAGCUUUCUUGUGCUUCUCUCUUUCUCUGGUCUACUUUUCACUAUUUAAUAAAUAAUUAUAACAUUAAAAU
rnacentral:lncRNA from 1 species